rnacentral:tRNA from 1 species
GUCAUGGUAGCUCAGUGGUAGAGCAUCGGACGCCUUAUUCGAAGGUCGCAGGUUCAGAUCCUGCCCACGGCA